AUGAACGCUGGCGGUCUGCUUAACACAUGCAAGUCGAACGGGGGGUAGCAAUACCUCAGAGGCGGACGGGUGAGUAACGCGUGAGAAUCUGCCUUCAGGUUCGGGACAACCACGGGAAACGGUGGCUAAUACCGGAUGUGCUUUACGGUGAAAGAUUUAUCGCCUGAAGAGGAGCUCGCGUCUGAUUAGCUAGUUGGUAGGGUAAAAGCCUACCAAGGCGACGAUCAGUAGCUGGUCUGAGAGGAUGAUCAGCCACACUGGGACUGAGACACGGCCCAGACUCCUACGGGAGGCAGCAGUGGGGAAUUUUCCGCAAUGGGCGAAAGCCUGACGGAGCAAGACCGCGUGAGGGAGGAAGGCUCUUGGGUUGUAAACCUCUUUUCUCAGGGAAGAAGAAAGUGACGGUACCUGAGGAAUCAGCCUCGGCUAACUCCGUGCCAGCAGCCGCGGUAAUACGGAGGAGGCAAGCGUUAUCCGGAAUUAUUGGGCGUAAAGCGUCCGCAGGUGGCUCGCUCAAGUCUGCUGUCAAAGACCGGGGCUUAACUCCGGAAAGGCAGUGGAAACUGACAAGCUAGAGGGCUCUAGGGGUAGAGGGAAUUCCCGGUGUAGCGGUGAAAUGCGUAGAGAUCGGGAAGAACAUCGGUGGCGAAAGCGCUCUACUGGAGAGCAACUGACACUCAGGGACGAAAGCUAGGGGAGCGAAUGGGAUUAGAUACCCCAGUAGUCCUAGCUGUAAACGAUGGAUACUAGGCGUGGCUCGUAUCGACCCGAGCCGUGCCGUAGCUAACGCGUUAAGUAUCCCGCCUGGGAAGUACGCACGCAAGUGUGAAACUCAAAGGAAUUGACGGGGGCCCGCACAAGCGGUGGAGUAUGUGGUUUAAUUCGAUGCAACGCGAAGAACCUUACCAGGGCUUGACAUGUCCGGAACCCUGCUGAAAGGUGGGGGUGCCUUCGGGAGCCGGAACACAGGUGGUGCAUGGCUGUCGUCAGCUCGUGUCGUGAGAUGUUGGGUUAAGUCCCGCAACGAGCGCAAUCCUCGUUCUUAGUUGCCAGCAUUAAGUUGGGCACUCUAGGGAGACUGCCGGUGACAAACCGGAGGAGGGUGGGGAUGACGUCAAGUCAGCAUGCCCCUUACGUCCUGGGCUACACACGUACUACAAUGCGACGGACAAAGGGCAGCAAGCGAGCGAUCGCAAGCUAAUCCCAUAAACCGUGGCUCAGUUCAGAUCGCAGGCUGCAACUCGCCUGCGUGAAGGAGGAAUCGCUAGUAAUUGCAGGUCAGCAUACUGCAGUGAAUCCGUUCCCGGGCCUUGUACACACCGCCCGUCACACCAUGGGAGCUGGUUUUGCCCGAAGUCGUUACCCUAACCCGCAAGGGAAGGGGACGCCGAAGGCAGGGCUAGUGACUGGGGUG
rnacentral:rRNA from 1 species